GAUGAACGCUGGCGGCGUGCCUAAUACAUGCAAGUCGAGCGAACGGACGAGAAGCUUGCUUUUCUGAUGUUAGCGGCGGACGGGUGAGUAACACGUGGAUAACCUACCUAUAAGACUGGGAUAACUUCGGGAAACCGGAGCUAAUACCGGAUAAUAUUUUGAACCGCAUGGUUCAAAAGUGAAAGACGGUCUUGCUGUCACUUAUAGAUGGAUCCGCGCUGCAUUAGCUAGUUGGUAAGGUAACGGCUUACCAAGGCAACGAUGCAUAGCCGACCUGAGAGGCUGAUCGGCGACCUGAGAACUGGAACACGGACCAGGCUCCUACGGGAGGCAGCAGUAGGGAAUCGUACGCAAUAGGCGAAAGCCUGACGGAGCAACGCCGCGUGAGUGAUGAAGGUCUUCGGAUCGUAAAACUCUGUUAUUAGGGAAGAACAUAUGUGUAAGUAAAUGUACACAUCUUGACGGUACCUAAACAGAAAGCCACGGCUAACUACGUG
rnacentral:rRNA from 1 species